rfam:Camelus ferus unplaced genomic scaffold scaffold1413, whole genome shotgun sequence.
GAGGGUACAGCUCAGUGGUAGAGCACAUGCUUAGCAUGCAUGAGGUCCUGGGUUCAAUCCUCUGUAUCUCUA